UACGUAGGGUGCAAGCGUUGUCCGGAAUUAUUGGGCGUAAAGGGCUCGUAGGCGGUCCAUCACGUCGGGAGUGAAAAGCUGGGGCUUAACCCCAGUCCUGCUUCCGAUACGGGUGGACUAGAGGUAGGCAGGGGAGAACGGAAUUCCUGGUGUAGCGGUGAAAUGCGCAGAUAUCAGGAGGAACACCGGUGGCGAAGGCGGGUCUCUAGUACGGUACUGACGCUGAGACGCGAAAGCGUGGGGAGCGAACAGG
rnacentral:rRNA from 1 species